rnacentral:rRNA from 1 species
UCUUGGUCCAUUUAGAGGAAGUAAAAGUCGUAACAAGGUCUCCGUUGGUGAACCAGCGGAGGGAUCAUUACAGAGUUGCAAAACUCCCUAAACCAUUGUGAACGUUACCUAUACCGUUGCUUCGGCGGGCGGCCCCGGGGUUUACCCCCCGGGCGCCCCUGGGCCCCACCGCGGGCGCCCGCCGGAGGUCACCAAACUCUUGAUAAUUUAUGGCCUCUCUGAGUCUUCUGUACUGAAUAAGUCAAAACUUUCAACAACGGAUCUCUUGGUUCUGGCAUCGAUGAAGAACGCAGCGAAAUGCGAUAAGUAAUGUGAAUUGCAGAAUUCAGUGAAUCAUCGAAUCUUUGAACGCACAUUGCGCCCGCCAGCAUUCUGGCGGGCAUGCCUGUUCGAGCGUCAUUUCAACCAUCAAGCCCCCGGGCUUGUGUUGGGGACCUGCGGCUGCCGCAGGCCCUGAAAAGCAGUGGCGGGCUCGCUGUCGCACCGAGCGUAGUAGCAUACAUCUCGCUCUGGUCGCGCCGCGGGUUCCGGCCGUUAAACCACCUUUUAACCCAAGGUUGAC